rnacentral:rRNA from 1 species
AUUGAACGCUGGCGGCAUGCCUUACACAUGCAAGUCGAACGGUAACAGGUCUUCGGAUGCUGACGAGUGGCGAACGGGUGAGUAAUACAUCGGAACGUGCCCGAGAGUGGGGGAUAACGAGGCGAAAGCUUUGCUAAUACCGCAUACGAUCUCAGGAUGAAAGCAGGGGACCGCAAGGCCUUGCGCUCACGGAGCGGCCGAUGGCAGAUUAGGUAGUUGGUGGGAUAAAAGCCUACCAAGCCGACGAUCUGUAGCUGGUCUGAGAGGACGACCAGCCACACUGGGACUGAGACACGGCCCAGACUCCUACGGGAGGCAGCAGUGGGGAAUUUUGGACAAUGGGCGCAAGCCUGAUUCAGCCAUGCCGCGUGCAGGAUGAAGGCCUUCGGGUUGUAAACUGCUUUUGUACGGAACGAAAAGACUCCUUCUAAUAAAGGGGGUCCAUGACGGUACCGUAAGAAUAAGCACCGGCUAACUACGUGCCAGCCGCCGCGGUAAUAC